UUUCACCGGAGCAUGUCAAAACCCAGAAAUCGUCGACUAUUUCUAGAUCCUCUCAUUUCCGAUGAUAGAUUGACGUUAAUUCAUCCUCACCGCUGACUGAUUCCGCUGCUACCUUAACCGAUGCAGCUCAGCUCUGCAAUCCCAGGUAAAUUCCGAAACUCCCAUAUCCAUCUCUUUACCAAAAUGUUAUUUCAGUUUCUGUUGCUGUGAUUUGCAAUUACUUCUGAAAUCUUACUGUCUUCCUUUUCAUCUGCAGCUGCUGAAGACACUUUUGAUUUCAAAAAACUAAGCAUCGUGAAUUGCAGGUAAAACCCUAAAUUCCUUUGACGCUUCCAAACUUUCAAAUUUGACCACCUGAAAAUUUUGCCAUUUGAGAAGAUCAACCCGUAAUGAAACACUUCUUCUCUGUUACCCUGAAAUGAUGACUUUUACCAAUCUCAUCUCACAUUUUUCAAACUUUACAAUCUGAAAAACUUUGUCGAUUUCUUAUGUUACCGAUACUGAAUUUUUUUUUUCAAUAUCUUCUGUCUUUGUGAGAUGCCCAAAUCGACAAGAGCAAUCUCAAGACGCUUUUGAAAACAACUACAGAAUUACAUUGAGAAGCACCAGGAACUUCUCAAACGUGUUUCCAGGUAAGCACUUUGUGAGCAUGUCUGCUGGAUUAGCUGUAGUGUGAACCUUUAGGAUCUUGACUGAACCUUCAUCGACUAUAUCUCUGAUAAAAUGAUAUUUGGUAUCAACAUGCUUUGUUCUGUCAUGGUGCACACUGUUCUUUGCUAAACAUAUAGCACUUUGUGAAUCACAAUUGAGUUUAAAACUGUCCUCUUUAAAACCCAAUUCACCACACAAUCCCUUAAGCCACAGACCUUCCUUAGUAGCCUCAGAUAGAGACAUAUAUUCUGCUUCCGUAGUAGAUAAAGCAACUACUUGUUGUAGACAUGAUCUCCAACUGACCGUAUUGCCACCAACUUUGAAAACAUAGCCUGAAACUGACCUUCUCCUGUCUAAGUCUGUAGCAUAAUCUGAAUCACAAAACCCUUCAAUCUCAAAUUUCUCUGAUUUUGUGAAAGUAAGACAUACUCCUGUAGCUCCUUUUAAAUACCUCAAAAUCCACUUAACCGCAGCCCAAUGAGAUCUUCCUGGAUUCGCCAUGAAUAUGCUAACCAAUCCAAUGACAAAGGCUAGAUCAGGUCUUGAACCGAUCAUAGCAUACAUCAGACUCCCCACUGCACUUGCAUAGGGAACUGAAUCCAUCAAUCUACUCUCUGUUUUUACCUCCUGCUCUGUUAGACUCUUAAGCUUAAACUGCGAAUUACUUGGAGUUACAACAGCCUUGCAAUCCUCCAUGUUAAAAGUUCUUAAAACCUGCUUAAGAUAUCUUUCCUGUGAUAACUUGAGAGUACCUUUCUUUCUGUCCCUGAUGAUAUCCAUACCAAGAAUUCUAGUCGCUGGUCCUAGAUCCUUCAUCUCGAACUUUUUACUUAAGCUUGCCUUCAAGGCUUUGAUCUUUUCCAUAUUCUUUGCUGCCACAAGCAUGUCAUCGACAUAUAGUAAGAGAUAAACCAUAUCAUCAAUACAUGAUCCCUUAGUGUAAACACAUGGAUCCCUAGCGCUCCUUUGAAACUCCAUUGACUUCAUGAAUUCAUCAAACUUCUGAUUCCAUUGUCUAGGUGACUGUUUCAAACCAUAUAGAGAUUUCUUAAGAAGACAGACCUUGUCUUCGUUUCCCUUCUCUAUAAAACCCUCUGGCUGACUCAUGUAAAUGACUUCAUCAAGUGUACCAUGUAAGAAAGCAGUCUUCACGUCUAGUUGCUCCAAUUCCAGAUCAAAAUUAACCACAACUGACAACAUGAUUCUAAUAGAAACAUGCUUAACCACCGGAGCAAAUAUUUCGUUGUAAUCCACUCCUUCAACCUGUGUAAAUCCCUUAGCUACAAGUCUUGCUUUGUAUCUAGGUUCUUCAACACCUGGAAUGCCCUCCUUGUACUUGAAGAUCCACUUACACUUUUUGCUUUCUCGGCUUAGAGACAAUCUCAAAAGUUUCAUUUUUAUCCAGAGAUUGUUUUUCUUCUUCCAUAGCCUGCUUCCACUUCUUCCAGUCUUUACUUUGUCUAGCUUCUGCGACUGACUUUGGUUCAUUUAACUCUAUGCUUUCAGCGCUAGUUAAAGCAUAAGCUAAAUAAUCAGCAUCCUCAAACCUCGAUGGUGGUUUGAUAGUUCUUCGCUCUCUGUCUCUUGCCAGCAAAUAAUCAUCAAGAGACUCUUCUUCAUCCUGAUUUUCUUGUUCUUCCUCAGAUUCCUGCUCCUCUUCUGAUUCUGAAUGUUCCGAAGUAGCUCCACCUUGACCAGCAGAAUCUGUAUUUCCUGAAACCUCUCCACCUUGACCAGUGGACUCUUGAACCGAACCAUUUGGAGUAGGUCCUUGGAUCAAUCCAGCUUUGAAAGUAACUUUCUUCUUCUUUGUAGAUUUUGUUACUUCAUUCUGAUCUCGGUCCUUAUACAACUUUUCCUCAUCAAAGACUACAUUCCUGCUGUUAGUACAUUUUCCAUCCUCCGGAAUCCAAACCCUGUAACCUUUAGUACCCUGUGGAUAUCCUAAGAAAAUCCCUUUAACAGCUCUUGGACUCAUCUUGUCUUGUAUUACAUGAACAUAUGCAACACAACCAAAUCGUCUGAGAUGACUGUAAUCAACCUUUGAUCCUGACCAAACCUCUUCAGGAAUCUUGAACUUCAGUGAUGCAUUUGGUGAUCUGUUUAUGAGAUAAACUGCAGUAGAAGCUGCCUCAGCCCAAAAUUUCUUUUCCAUUCCUGUUUCUGCUAACAUACACCUGAUCUUCUCAGCUAUUGUCCGAUUCAUCCUCUCAGAUACUCCAUUUUGCUGUGGAGUAUAAGUGCAAGUUCGAUGUCUUUUAAUCCCUGAAUCCUGACAUAGCUUAUCCAUCUGAUUGUUGCAGAACUCUAAUCCAUUAUCAGUUCGCAGACGCUUUAUCUUCUUACUCUUCUGAUUUUCCACUAGUGCUUUCCACUCUGAAAAAUUUUCAAACACUUCGUCCUUACUCCUUAGGAAUCUGAUCUAAACCUUCCUUGAGUAAUCAUCAAUGAAAGUAAGAAAGUAUCUACACCCUGUCAUGCUUGGCUCGUUUGACACUGAGCCCCAAAGAUCACUGUGAAUGUAUUCCAAAAUACACGUAGUAGUGUGUUGGCCAACUGGAAAACUCUGCUUGUGAGACUUACCAAACACACACUUUUCACAGAAAUCUAAAGUGUGGACUUCCUUUGAGUCUAGAUAACCUCCUUUGACCAGAAGAUUCAUGUUCUUAAGACUCAUAUGUCCUAGCCUUGAAUGCCAUCUGUUCGUUAGAUUUACCUCCGUCCUGACCACAGAUGCUUCUCCUCUCACAACUGUUCCCUGCAAAUAGUACAGCCCGUUCUCAUAUUUUCCUGAAAUCACUUUCUGGCCCUUCUUGUAGAAAGUAACUAUGAGUCCUUCCCUUCAUACUUGCACCCGUUCUUCUCUAGCUGCAUAGAGAUGAGAUUUUUGCUCAUGGNNNNNNNNNNNNNNNNNNNNNNNNNNNNNNNNNNNNNNNNNNNNNNNNNNNNNNNNNNNNNNNNNNNNNNNNNNNNNNNNNNNNNNNNNNNNNNNNNNNNUUUCCGCCAUCAACUUCUUUGAAGUCAUACAAGACAUCUCUAUCAGGUGUAAUGUGGAAAGUACACCCAGAAUCCAUGACCCAUUCAUCCAUAGUGUCUUGGACGCUUGCUGUUAAGAUCAUAGGUUCCUCUCUUUCAUGUACUACAUUUGCAGAGUCUUGUUUCCCAUACUUUCUUUCAGGGCACUCUUUCUUGUAGUGUCCUUCUUUCCCACAUAUCCAACAUUCUCUAGCUUUUGGUUGAUUCUUUGGUCUAGACUUCGACCUUGAAUCUCUGCUCUUGGAUCUACCUUUACUCUGACCUGUAGUCCUCUUUUCAGACCUCCCUCUACUUGCAACCAAAGCAUCUGCACUUGACUUUGGUUUUCCUAGAAGUCCACUCUCUUUUAGCUCGAUUUCCUUGGCAUAUGCUGAAGCGGUAACUUCAUUCAUAGUAAGUGUCUCUUUCCCGUUGCCGUAUUUGAGAGUAUGAACUAGUGAAUCAAACUGCUUAGGUAAGCUAGACAACACCUGAAUUGCCUGAUCUUCAUCACUUAUAGUUAUACUCAAGCUCUCCAAAUCGUCCACCAGUCUAAGAAACACGUCAAGAUUCUCCUCUAUGCUUUUGUGCUCUUCCAUCUUAAAACUGGCAAAUCUCUGCUUCAGAUAAAUGCGAUUUGGUAAGGUCUUUGUCUGGUAAUCCUUUUCUAGAGCUUUCCACACACCUAGAGCUGUUGUUUGCUUCAUAACCUUCCGCAAGACCAGAUUACUAAGGCUGGAACAUAUCAAGUUCUUUGCCUUUUUGUCUGUCUCCUUCUUCUUUGGAUCAACCGGAGAUGGAGUUGCCUUAGCAUCUGUCUCAUCUUCUUUUCCUUUUCCUUUGUCAGAUGCUGCGCUAGUUUCUUCCUCACUAAUUGCAGAAUCUAACCCUAGAUUUUCAAGAGCCAUAAGCAUCUUGAAUUUCCACAUACCAAAAUCUCCUUUACCAUCAAACUUCUCCACCUUAAUUUUACCAAAAGAUGGUUCCAUGAUUCAGACUUUGUAGAUGUUAUCACUUGAUUGAAUAACUUGGACUUUCCCGAAACAACACCAAUCGCAGAUCAGAAACUGAAACCGUAUCCUCCGCUUAAACCUGGUGCUCUGAUACCACUUGUGAGGUUUUAAUAUUGAUUUCAACCUCUAGUCUUAGCUCUUAACCUGAACUACUUAGAUCAAUUAACCUUGAUACUUAGUUUGUUUGUUGUUUUCAAGCAAGACACAAGAAAAUUUGGUAACCCAGUUCCCUUUCGGUACGUCUGGGGAGAGACGGUACUCUCAACGGUCCACUAUAAUCGAUCAAGUGUUUACAAUAAUGAGUUUGUUACUUCACCGUUAAACUCACGUAUCUCUCUUCUUUCCUUUGUUUCAGGUACCACAAAGAAGAAAGACCAGAAACUAAUUCACCUCAGUUUCAACCACAGAUGCCUUAACCCAGAAGAUGAAGACGAAAGCCUGAAAAAACCCUUAACCGUGUAUCUCUGUUUCUCUUCUCCUUCUCUCAUUAAUUAUCUCUGCUCUCUCUCAAAGUCUGCAACUCCAAAAAAGUUUUAUAUAUAGCUUUGAGUAAUCAUGUGGGCCUUAUACCCUAGCCCAACAUCAGUUUCUCUUGCACACUCUUGUAAAC
rnacentral:lncRNA from 1 species